UACGUAGGGUGCAAGCGUUGUCCGGAAUUAUUGGGCGUAAAGAGCGUGUAGGCGGCUUGAUUAGUCUGCUGUGAAAGUCCAGGGCUCAACCCUGGAAUGCCGGUGGAUACUGUCAAGCUAGAGUCCGGAAGGGGCGAGUGGAAUUCCUGGUGUAGCGGUGAAAUGCGCAGAUAUCAGGAGGAACACCAAUGGCGAAGGCAGCUCGCUGGGACGUGACUGACGCUGAGACGCGAAAGCGUGGGGAGCGAACAGG
rnacentral:rRNA from 1 species